GUUUUGCCCUUUGUAAAGAUGGCCGCGGAGGCUUUUGGAGCCAACUGGAAGUGUAGUGAGCGUUUUCUGGUGCAUGGGCAGAGAGGACAGGAACAAGCGCAGCAUUCGUGGACACCGAUUGGCUGAAGCGAGAAGCUCCCCUCCGCUGACUGGCUCGGGCAUUCGCGGGAAGGAGUUUGUGGCGCCAGAAAAAAGUAUCCAGAGCCGCGGAGUAGCGGCCGAGUUCUGGGUUGUUCCGCAACUUCCCCAGAUCCGAACCUUCUCGCCCUCUUUGCGGAGAAUCGAGACCAAGAUGUGGAACAGUGGAUUCGAAAGCUAUGGCAGCUCCAACUACGGGGGAGCUGGCGGCUACACGCAGUCCCCGGGGGGCUUUGGAUCGCCCGGACCUUCUCAGGCCGAAAAGAAAUCAGACGCCAGCAGUGAAAACACUGUGGUUCCUCCAGAAACGUAUGUGAAAGUGGCAGGCCACCUGAGAUCU
rnacentral:lncRNA from 1 species